rnacentral:rRNA from 1 species
CUAGUGGCGGACGGGUGAGGAACACGUAAGAACCUACCCCUAGGAGGGGGACAACAACUGGAAACGGUUGCUAAUACCCCAUAUGCUGAGGAGCGAAACGGUGAAAACCGCCUAGGGACGGGCUUGCGUCUGAUUAGCUUGUUGGUGAGGUAAAUGCUUACCAAGGCAAUGAUCAGUAGCUGGUCUGAGAGGAUGAUCAGCCACACUGGGACUGAGACACGGCCCAGACUCCUACGGGAGGCAGCAGUGAGGAAUUUUCCGCAAUGGGCGAAAGCCUGACGGAGCAAUGCCGCGUGGAGGAUGAAAGCCUGUGGGUCGUAAACUCCUUUUCUCAGAGAAGAAGAUCUGACGGUAUCUGAGGAAUAAGCAUCGGCUAACUCCGUGCCAGCAGCCGCGGUAAUACGGAGGAUGCAAGCGUUAUCCGGAAUGAUUGGGCGUGAAGCGUCUGUAGGUGGUUUCAUAAGUCCACUGUCAAAGAUCAGGGCUUAACCCUGGGCAGGCAGUGGAAACUAUGAGGCUUGAGUACGGUAGGGGCAGAGGGAAUUCCCGGUGUAGCGGUGAAAUGCGUAGAGAUCGGGAAGAACACCAAUGGCGAAAGCACUCUGCUGGGCCGAAACUGACACUGAGAGACGAAAGCUAGGGGAGCAAAUGGGAUUAGAUACCCCAGUAGUCCUAGCCGUAAACGAUGGAUACUAAGUGCUGUCCGAUUCAAACCGUCCAGUACUGUAGCUAACGCGUGAAGUAUCCCGCCUGGGGAGUAUGCUCGCAAGAGUGAAACUCAAAGG